UCGAAUUCACACAUCAAGCACUAUGCUCUUACCCCUAGAACAAAACCCUAGGGCCGACUUGGUAUGUAAUCCUAGUGAAUUUAACGGGCCUGCUGGACUAGAAGCUUCUCAAGCUCAAGCGCUUUACUUUCUAGUUACAGACCAACGUCCGGGGCUAACAUAAGAUCCGUGUAAUGACCUCUGAGUCAUUAAUAAUAAAUUAGACUAGAAACGACAUCGUUUGGUCUUUUAAUUAAUCAACUCAUUAACGAAAUUAGGGGCAUCAUUUAAAAGUUAGUUAAGUGAUCGUGCGGCUCAAACUAGAAGAGAAUGGAGGGUGCAGAUUGCUUGAUGGAGCCAAGUAUAAGUACUCCCAAAAUACAGAUGAGGAAAAUGUGAAAAUUUGUUAUGUUAUCUAAUGGAGCUGGAAUGGCUGAGUUGAUUAAUUGGGCUGAAUUAGUAGUUGUUAUAGUCUAUUUUAGUCGAACUAUUAGAAUUUGGGUUGUAUUGAGUACUGUGACUGAGUUUAUUGAAAUUUUGAGAUUAUUAAGUUGUAAUUUGACUAUUGAAUGCAUUGAGUAUUGUGGAGGUGACUAAUUAGUUGAUAAAUCUAUCUCGAGUCUACUACAAUCCGCUCAAAAACCUACUAGUUUAGGUAAAUAUCUAAAUGUGUUCUUGGAGAAGUCAUUUUUGUUGGAGAAACUAUGCGUUCUUGGAUUUGCGCCAAAGGCUCCAAAUGGCUUAGACUUAACUAGGUUGAAAAACGACGUACAACCUUAUGAGGAAUGUCAUUCUGCAGAAUAUAUGAUUCAUUCUCCUUUAAGUUCUUUAUUCAGGAGUGGUGUAGCUAACGAGACCAAUGCAAUUAUUAUAUAUCUCUUGGCAUC